rnacentral:rRNA from 1 species
UAGGGAAUCUUCCGCAAUGGACGCAAGUCUGAUGCAGCAACGCCGCGUGAGUGAAGAAGGAUUUCGGUUCGUAAAACUCUGUUGUUAGAGAAGAACAGCGCAUAGAGUAACUGUUAUGCGUGUGACGGUAUCUAACCAGAAAGCCACGGCUAACUACGUGCCAGCAGCCGCGGUAAUACGUAGGUGGCAAGCGUUGUCCGGAUUUAUUGGGCGUAAAGCGAGCGCAGGCGGUCAAUUAAGUCUGAUGUGAAAGCCCCCGGCUCAACCGGGGAGGGUCAUUGGAAACUGGUUGACUUGAGUGCAGAAGAGGAGAGUGGAAUUCCAUGUGUAGCGGUGAAAUGCGUAGAUAUAUGGAGGAACACCGGUGGCGAAAGCGGCUCUCUGGUCUGUAACUGACGCUGAGGCUCGAAAGCGUGGGGAGCGAACAGG